GACGAACGCUGGCGGCGUGCUUAACACAUGCAAGUCGAACGGUAAGGCCCUUCGGGGUACACGAGUGGCGAACGGGUGAGUAACACGUGGGUGAUCUGCCCUGCACUUCGGGAUAAGCCUGGGAAACUGGGUCUAAUACCGGAUAGGACCACUGCCUGCCCGGGUGGUGGUGGAAAGCUUUUGCGGUGUGGGAUGGGCCCGCGGCCUAUCAGCUUGUUGGUGGGGUGAUGGCCUACCAAGGCGACGACGGGUAGCGGGCCUGAGAGGGCGACCGGCCACACUGGGACUGAGAUACGGCCCAGACUCCUACGGGAGGCAGCAGUGGGGAAUAUUGCACAAUGGGCGCAAGCCUGAUGCAGCGACGCCGCGUGAGGGAUGACGGCCUUCGGGUUGUAAACCUCUUUCAGCACCGACGAAGCGCAAGUGACGGUAGGUGCAGAAGAAGGACCGGCCAACUACGUGCCAGCAGCCGCCGUAA
rnacentral:rRNA from 1 species